rnacentral:rRNA from 1 species
UACGGAGGGCGCAAGCGUUGUUCGGAAUCAUUGGGCGUAAAGCGCGUGUAGGCGGCUUGGCAAGUCGGGUGUGAAAUCCCGGGGCUCAACCCCGGAACUGCAUUCGAAACUGCCUGGCUAGAGUCCCGGAGAGGAGGGCGGAAUUCCCGGUGUAGAGGUGAAAUUCGUAGAUAUCGGGAGGAACACCAGUGGCGAAGGCGGCCCUCUGGACGGUGACUGACGCUGAGAUGCGAAAGCGUGGGGAGCAAACAGG